rnacentral:rRNA from 1 species
AACGAACGCUGGCGGCGUGCCUAACACAUGCAAGUCGAGCGAGAAAGUCCCCGCAAGGGGAUGAGUACAGCGGCGAACGGGUGAGUAACACGUGGGCAACCUACCCCUCAGUCAGGAAUAACCCCGCGAAAGCGGGGCUAAUACCAGGUAACGUCCCCUGGGGGCAUCCUCGGGGGACCAAAGGGGGCGAGCGAAAGCGGCUCUCGCUGAAGGAUGGGCCUGCGGCUGAUUAGCUAGUUGGUGGGGUAACGGCCUACCAAGGCGACGAUCAGUAGCCGACCUGAGAGGGGGACCGGCCACACUGGGACUGAGACACGGCCCAGACUCCUACGGGAGGCAGCAGUGGGGAAUAUUGCGCAAUGGGCGAAAGCCUGACGCAGCGACGCCGCGUGGGUGAUGAAGGCCUUCGGGUCGUAAAACCCUGUCGGGUGGAACGAAUCCUCCGCGGAAUAAUAAUUCGCGGGGUUGACGGUACCACCGAAGGAAGCCCCGGCUAACUACGUGCCAGCCGCCGCCGUAAUAC